GAUGAACGCUGGCGGCGUGCCUAAUACAUGCAAGUCGAGCGAACAGAUGAGGAGCUUGCUCCUCUGACGUUAUCGGCGGACGUGUGAGUAACACGUGGAUAACCUACCUAUAAGACUGGGAUAACUUCGGGAAACCGGAGCUAAUACCGGAUAAUAUAUUGAACCGCAUGGUUCAAUAGUGAAAGACGGUUUUUCUGUCACUUAUAGAUGGAUCCUCGCCGCAUUAGCUAGUUGGUAAGGUAACGGCUUACCACGGCAACGAUGCGUAGCCGACCUGAGAGGGUGAGGGGACACAGUGGAUCGGAGACACGGCCAAGACGCAAAGGGGAGGCAGCAGGAGGGAAUUUUCCGAAAGGGGCGAAAGCCUGAGGGAGAAACGCCGGGGGAGAAAUGAGGGUUUGGGGAGUGAAAAACGCUUUUAUGAGGAAAAAAAAAAUGUGAAAGGAAAUAUGAACGUCUGGAGGUAACUUAAUAAAAAAGCAAGGGUUAAUUACGU
rnacentral:rRNA from 1 species